UACGUAGGGUGCGAGCGUUAAUCGGAAUCACUGGGCGUAAAGCGUGCGCAGGCGGUUUUGUAAGCCAGAUGUGAAAUCCCCGGGCUUAACCUGGGAAUGGCAUUUGGGACUGCAAGGCUGGAGUGCGGCAGAGGAGACUGGAAUUCCUGGUGUAGCAGUGAAAUGCGUAGAUAUCAGGAGGAAUACCGAUGGCGAAGGCAGGUCUCUGGGCUGACACUGACGCUCAUGCACGAAAGCGUGGGGAGCAAACAGG
rnacentral:rRNA from 1 species